rnacentral:lncRNA from 1 species
GGAUUUAGCUCAGUGGUAGAGAGCUUGCCUAGGAAGCGCAAGGCCCUGGGUUCGGUCCCCAGCUCCGAAAAAAAGAACAAAAAAAAAAAAAAAAAAAAAAAAGAAAAGAAACAACAACAAAAACCAUCCUGCCUUGAAACUUGCAGUGCACCAGUGUAUCACAUGCUAUAUACACUAUUGAAAACAACUUUUCUUGCAAACGCUCAUUUCAUUGAAUCAUUGGUCUGGUUCAAAGCCUCUGGCUUCUGUUCCACCAUCAAUACUGGAUCCUCGUUGGGAAACAUUCAAACAUUUUGUUGUUGCCUUAGGUCAUGGAGAUCUUACAGCUUUGGAACAGCAGCACUGGUCUCUUCACAUGCUCCAGGAGUUCUAGGGUGGAGCCCUCUCUAGGGGGAUAAUACUCAGGCUCACUUCCUGCUCUCAGCUGUGCAUCUGACAGCCUGGCAGCCUGUGCAGAAGCCCCAGGAUCAGAGCUCACUCUCUCAGGCCACAGACGGGUGUUAGAAGAUGGAAGGGAGCAGCCUCAGCCCCAGGUUGACUAUUUGGGAUCCUUGGUCUGCCAAGUCUAGAAGCUAUGCUCUGAAGUUGGACAGCUUACCUGUAUGGCUGUUUGAUCGGUGAGGCUAUAAGUAGGCCAGAUGGGGUUGCUUGCUAUUAUGUGCUUGGUUGGGUAGAGACAACCAUACUUUGCUAUGACAUAGAGACAACACACUGUCCUGGGGAAUAGACAGACAGGCACUGUGGCCAUACCGGACUGCUGCUAGGCAGGAACCAUAAGUGCCUUCCCUGGAGAGGUAGAGGCACAGGCUGCCUGGGCAGAGCAGAGCAGCUGACUGUGCUCUCCCACUGAGUACCUCUGAUAGUGGAGACAGGGCUGCACCCCCAUCUUAUCAUCCUGCCCUGUUUGUUCUUUUCAUGGCCUCCUGAGUCCUUCGGUGUUCUUCAUUGAGCAAGACAGAGGGAGACCUCCCGUAGGGCACGUCAGAGCUCUGGGGGAGCUCUAUGCUUGUUUCUGGUUCCCCAGUAUAGACAGACCUGAGGUCGAGGGUCACCAUCUUGGUAAGGCUAAUCCUAGACUGAGGAGGGACAAUGCAGGCAGAGAAAAUGCUUCUCUUGCCCUUCACAUGUGGCUUUGGUGGCCCAUGGGUAAGGUUAGUCUUCUCUUGCAGUUGUUGUGUUUGAGUGGGGGGAGGUAGUUACUGGUUGAUCAUUCUGUGUUGGGGUCUAAGUCAUAGACAUCCUGACAUCAACAAGAUGCCUUUUUAACUCAGUGAUGUCUGUCACCUCCUGGCAUCCCUAUUCAGAGUCAUGUAGACUCUUAGCUUGGUUUCUAAGGCAGUGAUAAAACACCACGACCAAAAACAACUUGGG